UACGUAGGGUGCGAGCGUUGUCCGGAAUUACUGGGCGUAAAGAGCUCGUAGGUGGUUUGUCGCGUUGUCCGUGAAAACUCACAGCUUAACUGUGGGCGUGCGGGCGAUACGGGCAGACUGGAGUACUGCAGGGGAGACUGGAAUUCCUGGUGUAGCGGUGGAACGCGCAGAUAUCAGGAGGAACACCGGUGGCGAAGGCGGGUCUCUGGGCAGUAACUGACGCUGAGGAGCGAAAGCGUGGGGAGCGAACAGG
rnacentral:rRNA from 1 species